rnacentral:lncRNA from 1 species
GGGACACAAGUGUAUGACGUAAAGAACAGGCGAUGAUUGAGCUAUAGCAAGUGACAACGUUCGAUUGUUGGGACCAAGGAACUUUACACGAGCGAAAGAGGGAAGGGAGGAGUGGGUCAUGACUACAAAAGAGGAGGGGCAACAUGCGAGUUAAAAAAGGAAAGGAGUGAGAGUGUGGAGAUAGAUUGUUGGUGGAGGAAAAACGACGAUUGAGAGUAACACAUUGCAAAAAAGAGCCUUGGAACGUAAAACGAUGCAUAAAAGAGAAGAACAACAUGACGUUAAACACAAAGAGAUAAUGUCUGAAUAUGAUACAGACUCAUGAUACCAUGUAAGAAAGAAAAAUAAUUUAAAUGUAUAUCACAUUUUAUAUAUAUACAUAUAUAUACAUACAUAUAUAUAUACAUA